rnacentral:rRNA from 1 species
CCUACGGGAGGCAGCAGUGAGGAAUAUUGGUCAAUGGACGCAAGUCUGAACCAGCCAUGCCGCGUGCAGGAUGACGGCUCUAUGAGUUGUAAACUGCUUUUGUACGAGGGUAAACCCCGAUACGUGUAUCGUGUUGAAAGUAUCGUACGAAUAAGGAUCGGCUAACUCCGUGCCAGCAGCCGCGGUAAUACGGAGGAUCCGAGCGUUAUCCGGAUUUAUUGGGUUUAAAGGGUGCGUAGGUGGUUUGAUAAGUUAGAGGUGAAAUGUUGGGGCUCAACCCCGAAACUGCCUCUAAUACUGUUGGACUAGAGAAUAGUUGCGGUAGGCGGAAUGUAUGGUGUAGCGGUGAAAUGCUUAGAGAUCAUACAGAACACCGAUUGCGAAGGCAGCUUACCAAACUAUAUCUGACGUUGAGGCACGAAAGCGUGGGUAGCAAACAGGAUUAGAUACCCGGGUAGUC